UGUCUCUGGCCACCUUAUAGAGGGAUGAAGCCCCUAAAAAUACAAACCACAGAGAGAAGGGAAGCCAUCCCAAUCCUGUUUCAUUUGAACUGCAGUGACUUUCCAGGCUCCUACUUCUGGAUCGGGGCUUCCUGUGGUGAAGUACCUGAGAAGAAAACAUGCACAGAAGGCUAAGAAACAGAAGAUGGUGAAUCAGA